UGAGGAAUUUUGCGCAAUGGGAGCAAUCCUGACGCAGCAACGCCGCGUGGGUGAUGAAGGCCUUCGGGUCGUAAAGCCCUGUCAGGUGGGAAGAAUGUCCCGGGACUGAACAGGUUCCGGGAGUGACGGUACCACCAGAGGAAGCACCGGCUAACUCCGUGCCAGCAGCCGCGGUAAUACGGAGGGUGCAAGCGUUAUUCGGAAUUACUGGGCGUAAAGCGCGUGUAGGCGGUGCUGCAAGUCUGAUGUGAAAGCCCCGGGCUUAACCCGGGAAGUGCAUUGGAAACGGGGGGACUUGAGUACAGGAGAGGAUGGGGGAAUUCCCGGUGUAGAGGUGAAAUUCGUAGAGAUCGGGAGGAAUAUCAGUGGCGAAGGCGCCCAUCUGGACGGUAACUGACGCUGAGACGCGAAAGCGUGGGGAGCAAACA
rnacentral:rRNA from 1 species